rnacentral:rRNA from 1 species
GAGCUAUAAAGCUAGCUUAACCACCAAAACCAACCCAACAACAUUCAACAAUUUUACUAAACCCAAACAUCACAAACUAAAACAUUCUCCUGCCUUAGUACGGGCGACAGAAAAGG